GAAAUUCUUCCCUUCUCUGUUUUAGCUCUGCUUUUCUCUGUAACUUCAACUUGGAACCUGCUUUCUUUUUCCAAGUUUUUGCUUUCUUUUUAUAGUUUCUUAAACUUGUUUUUCUUUUUAGUGUGAUUUUUGAAUUCCCCUUUUGAUUUUUGUUUUGGAAUUUGAUUUUCCACUGUGGUUUGGUUCCCCUGUUUUUGCUCUGUUUCAGUUUGCUUUCUUCUUCUCCUUUAUAAAUUUUCAAUUCUUUGUAGAUAACUUGUCUGCUUUCUGUUUCUUGAACCUUAGUUUCUAAGGCCUCUUCUCUCUUUUUUCUUGGAGCCACAUUUUACAUAAUAGUGUAUUUUAGAUAAUUUAAUAGCUCUACAUUUAAAAUAAUAUAUUGAAUUAAUAUUGAAAUGUAAUUAAUUUCCUUUCUUUAAUAAAUGUACUUCAAUGGGUAUUU
rnacentral:misc_RNA from 1 species